rnacentral:rRNA from 1 species
GUCCACGCCCUAAACGUUGAAUACUCGUUGUUGGCGAUAUACUGUCAGCGACUAAGCGAAAGCAUUAAGUAUUCCACCUGGGGAGUACGACCGCAAGGUUGAAACUCAAAGGAAUUGACGGGGGCCCGCACAAGCGGAGGAGUAUGUGGUUUAAUUCGAUGAUACGCGAGGAACCUUACCUGGGCUUGAAAGUUAGUGACCGAUUCCGAAAGGAGUCUUCUCUUCGGAGCACAAAACUAGGUG